AACAACUGGGAAGCCUUCUCAGCUACACUUCGGGGCACUGGUCCAACCCCACGCAACAUCCCCCGUUGCCCUUAGCGUGGUAAGACGGAGCCUGACCUGAGCUCCAACUGUACUAUCUUUUUCAAAUGUUUCAAACUUACUGCCUUUGUUCAGCAGAACCACGGGCACGGUGAUGAUGGUGACAAGCGCAGCAGCCCCCAGCAGUCCCAGGAGAACCUUCCAUGGUGUCUGCAAGCCGAGCAGAUCAAGUCCAGUUAGAGGGAACGUGUGGCCCCAGUUUCCGUAGGAGGGUCGGAGCUGCUCCAGAGGCAGCAGGAUUUGCAGGAAGGAAGACUGUGCACAGAGAAUAAAUAACUUGGCCAAGCCAUUCAGCUAGGAAGUUGUAGAUCCUAAAUUAAGAGUUCAAGGUCUUAAUGGCUACUCUAUGCGGCCUCUCAUAGUCUUUUCAAGGGUUUUGGAGAUGAAUAAAAGAUCAGGUAUGGCUUCUCCCUCCCCCAGCUCUCUAUUAUUCCCUAAAGGGUUAUUCGUUCGUUCAUUCAUUCCUACAUCCUCCCAUUUAUUCCACUCAUCCACAGAUGUUUGAGUGGUUACAAUGUGCCAGCCUCUCUUCUAGGUACUGGAGAUAAAGUGGGACAAGAGAGGUGAGGUCUGGACCCUUGGCACUUUCACGAUAAAAUACACAGGUAAACAUUUGCCUUUAGGGCCCCCCUA
rnacentral:antisense_RNA from 1 species